AUAUUAAUAAGCGGAGGAAAAGAAACUAACAAGGAUUCCCUCAGUAGCGGCGAGUGAACCGGGAAAAGCUCAAAUUUAAAAUCUGUACUCCUCGAGUAUCGAAUUGUAGUUUUAAGAAGCGUAUUCGUUGGAGCAAACAAGGUUAAAAUCUCCUGGAAAGAGGUAUCAAAGAGGGUGAUAAUCCCGUUUGAAGCUUUGUUUGUUUUGGCAUAUGUUUAUGUUUCAUAGAGUCGGGUUGUUUGGGAAUGCAAUCUUAAAUGGGUGGUAAAUCUCAUCUAAAGCUAAAUAUUGACAAGAGACCGAUAGCGCACAAGUA
rnacentral:rRNA from 1 species